rnacentral:rRNA from 1 species
GCGUGCUUAACACAUGCAAGUCGAACGGAAAGGCCCUGCUUUUGUGGGGUGCUCGAGUGGCGAACGGGUGAGUAACACGUGAGUAACCUGCCCUUGACUUUGGGAUAACUUCAGGAAACUGGGGCUAAUACCGGAUAGGAGCUCCUGCUGCAUGGUGGGGGUUGGAAAGUUUCGGCGGUUGGGGAUGGACUCGCGGCUUAUCAGCUUGUUGGUGGGGUAGUGGCUUACCAAGGCUUUGACGGGUAGCCGGCCUGAGAGGGUGACCGGCCACAUUGGGACUGAGAUACGGCCCAGACUCCUACGGGAGGCAGCAGUGGGGAAUAUUGCACAAUGGGCGGAAGCCUGAUGCAGCAACGCCGCGUGCGGGAUGACGGCCUUCGGGUUGUAAACCGCUUUCGCCUGUGACGAAGCGUGAGUGACGGUAAUGGGUAAAGAAGCACCGGCUAACUACGUGCCAGCAGCCGCGGUGAUACGUAGGGUGCGAGCGUUGUCCGGAUUUAUUGGGCGUAAAGGGCUCGUAGGUGGUUGAUCGCGUCGGAAGUGUAAUCUUGGGGCUUAACCCUGAGCGUGCUUUCGAUACGGGUUGACUUGAGGAAGGUAGGGGAGAAUGGAAUUCCUGGUGGAGCGGUGGAAUGCGCAGAUAUCAGGAGGAACACCAGUGGCGAAGGCGGUUCUCUGGGCCUUUCCUGACGCUGAGGAGCGAAAGCGUGGGGAGCGAACAGGCUUAGAUACCCUGGUAGUCCACGCUGUAAACGGUGGGUACUAGGUGUGGGGUCCAUUCCACGGGUUCCGUGCCGUAGCUAACGCUUUAAGUACCCCGCCUGGGGAGUACGGCCGCAAGGCUAAAACUCAAAGGAAUUGACGGGGCCCCGCACAAGCGGCGGAGCAUGCGGAUUAAUUCGAUGCAACGCGUAGAACCUUACCUGGGUUUGACAUGGAUCGGGAGUGCUCAGAGAUGGGUGUGCCUCUUUUGGGGUCGGUUCACAGGUGGUGCAUGGCUGUCGUCAGCUCGUGUCGUGAGAUGUUGGGUUAAGUCCCGCAACGAGCGCAACCCUUGUUCACUGUUGCCAGCACGUUAUGGUGGGGACUCAGUGGAGACCGCCGGGGUCAACUCGGAGGAAGGUGGGGAUGACGUCAAGUCAUCAUGCCCCUUAUGUCCAGGGCUUCACGCAUGCUACAAUGGCUGGUACAGAGAGUGGCGAGCCUGUGAGGGUGAGCGAAUCUCGGAAAGCCGGUCUCAGUUCGGAUUGGGGUCUGCAACUCGACCUCAUGAAGUCGGAGUCGCUAGUAAUCGCAGAUCAGCAACGCUGCGGUGAAUACGUUCCCGGGGCUUGUACACACCGCCCGUCAAGUCAUGAAAGUUGGUAACACCCGAAGCCGGUGGCCUAACCGUUGUGGGGGAGCCGUCGAAGGUGGGACUGGUGAUUAGGACUAAGUCAUAACA